UAAUGGUAUCACUGCCUCUGGAGCAGGGCUGGGCCUGGUUAGUACUUGGAUGAGAGACUGCUGGGAAAACCAUGUACCACAUUAG
ensembl:rRNA 5S_rRNA 5S ribosomal RNA